rnacentral:rRNA from 1 species
CCUACGGGGGGCAGCAGUCGAGAAUCAUUCACAAUGGGGGAAACCCUGAUGGUGCGACGCCGCGUGGAGGAAUGAAGUUCUUAGCAUUGUAAACCUCUGUCAUGUGGGAGCAAAUUAAAAAGAUAGUACCACAAGAGGAAGAGACGGCUAACUCUGUGCCAGCAGCCGCGGUAAUACAGAGGUCUCAAGCGUUGUUCGGAAUCACUGGGCGUAAGGCGUGCGUAGGGUGUUUCGUAAGUCGUGUGUGAAAGGCGCGGGCUCAACCCGCGGACGGCACAUGAUACUGCGAGACUAGAGUAAUGGAGGGGGAAGCGGAAUUCUCGGUGUAGCAGUGAAAUGCGUAGAUAUCGAGAGGAACACUCGUGGCGAAGGCGGGUUCCUGGACAUUAACUGACGCUGAGGCACGAAGGCCAGGGGAGCGAAAGGGAUUAGAUACCCGUGUAGUC